ACUCUACAGGGAAGGGUGAUUGAAGAAGUCACCCAAAGUAAUUCUGUCUCCUGACUCAUGAGAGCUAAAGACUCAAGUGCCAGCCUCUGUGGAUUUAACCACACCUUCAUUUGAUGAACAUUUGGUCAAGGAGAAAAGGGAUAAUGUUACAUUGCUGGGGCGAGGGUGACUCAGAGGAUAUGCUAUGCCUCCACAGACCCAAAGGAAGAGGACCAAGUGAUCAUAGACUGAAACUUCUUAAGCCAGGAGUGAGAAAAUAAAAUCUUCCUAACCUGAUUUCUCAGCUAUUUUGUCCCAGUGAUGUAAAGUACUGGGGAUUGAAUUCAGGGAUUCUCACUUGCUAGGCAAGUUCCCUGUCACUAGGCUGAAUCCCGUCCCCACACUUGCUUUGAAGUAAUCAAAAGCUGUUGGAGAAAUACUUUUUCUUAAAAUAAUGUGAAUAAAAAGCCAUAUGUGGUGAUACACGCCUGCAAUCCCAGAACUCCAGAAGCUAAAGAAAGAGGAUCAGGAGUUUGAAACCAACCUGCUUUCCAUGAGUACUCGUUACAAAUGCAGAGUAAAAAUCCCUAUGUCUUCAUAAAUUGUGUGGAGCGGUGACGGAUUUCUACCUCAUAGUCAUGUGUUCUACCUCCAUCUUGUAAAAUGAAGAGAAAACUAUUUCAUUUUCCACAAAACCAUGCAGCUGCAGGGAGGAAAAAGGUCGAAGCUUCUAAGUUCCCAAGAUUUUCUUCUAUGAUUGCCUCAAGCCAAAGGUCUUCAGCAUGGAUUUGAUAGUGGUAUUGUAAAAUUAACGAUGGCUUUUUUAGAUAUUGUGUUUAAUUUUGAAACGACACUUCCUGAGGGAA